AUCAAUGAGUAUCCUGGUUUCCACAGUAUCAAUUAGUAUCCUGGUUUCCACAGUAUGUUAAGAGCACACUUAAACCUAGGAAUAAUCAAUUAGUAUCCUGGUUUCCACAUUAUGUUAAGAGCACACUUAAACCUAGGAAUAGUCAAUUAGUAUCCUGGUUUCCACAGUAUGUUAAGAGCACACUUAAACCUAGGAAUAAUCAAUUAGUAUCCUGGUUUCCACAGUAUGUUAAGAGCACACUUAAACCUUGGAAUAAUCAAUUAGUAUCCUGGUUUCCAACGUAUGUUAAGAGCACACUUAAACCUUUGAAUAGCCAAUUAGUAUUAUGGUUAGUGUAUACUCAAGGAAGACUCCUAUAAGUUAUUGUUGAGCUUAUUACUGAAAACGCUCCAUAUAGCAGUCAUGAUGGUCAAGUGUGUGAGUCAAUGUUUGUUCCGACUGCAAUAUACUGAUUAAUCAUGUAAUUGUUUAAAAAAAAUACCACAAAUGAACAUCAAAAGACGAUGUGUUGCAUGGUACACCGUCUCCAAAUCCAAAUUGUCAAUAUCACCCUCAAAGGUCAAAGGUUAAUUUGCAUGUUUAUUUAUGUGUGUCAUAUCUUGUCUGGACAGUAACUUUGUGAUUGAUUGCGCAAUUUUAAUAUAACUAACAACACUCUUCACCAUCAUAAAUAAAGUAAUGUGUCUUGUAACUUUAAAGAAUAUGAUCAAAAUUAGAGGUCAAAGGUCAAAUUUGGGCAUGUAUUGCUUGUCCAGACUAUAACUUUUUCACUCAAAAUGCAAUUUUAAAAUAACUCACUUCAAAUGACCACCAUGAAAAGAUGCUGUUUUGACUGUAACAUCUGUCUCCUUACCUAAUGUCAAGGUUACACUUAAAGGCCUAAAGUUGGCCAUAAAACAACUAAAUGAGACUGUAAUUCCAUGAUUGAUCUUGAAAUUAAAAAUUAAUUUACCCGGGUUCAUUAUGUGAAGGCAGCAUGUCCUGUGAAACAGACCACUCUCUACCUCAAAGGAGCUAAAAGGAGAAAAUUGAACUUAUAGGGCCAAGGUUAAAUUUUGCCUUGUAACAGCUUGUUCUGUCUUAGCAACCUCAUUCAAUGUUAAAUAAAUUUGAAAAAAAUAUUUGUGGAGGUGUUCAAAGGUCAAAGUCACUUUAGAGGUCAAGGUCAAACAAACUCAUGGAGCUUAUUGAAUAAUGACAAGCUCUAUUGACCAUGGAAUCAACGACCAUGGAAUCAACUUGUUGACAGAAAUAUAGCUGCUACAGAUAAAGUUGUCAAACGUCAAGGGACAUGCAGUAUUUGUUUCACUAUGGUAUGUAUUGACACAUGUCAUUGGGAAGGUGUGUAUAUAAGUUUCACAAACAUCAAUGAUUUGUUAAAAAGGCUACUACUGAAAAUUAUUGUGCAACCACUUAAAGAAUGGGAAAAGGUAGCUUAAAAUGUGCCAUUGUGCUAAAUGCUGUUAUUUUGUGUAUGUGUUUUCUUGUCUUUUGCAAGCAUAUUGUUUGUUAAUUGCUUGAUAUAUUUAUAUUUCAAGUUUAAAAUAUGUUAUCAUACAAUUUGUGUGUCUGUAUUAAAGAUAUAUUCUUAUUUAUUAAAUAUUAACUACCGGUAAUAAUCGAGCGUAAUAUUAUCUGUCCCUGUCUUUGAUUGUUUUUAUAUGGUUAAACAAUAUCAUCUUUAUAUGUCUGUGUGAACUUGUGUUGUUGUUUUUUAAUAAUUAUUUCAUUGACACAUACAUUUGGAGAUAUCUGACUUAGCAAAAUGCAAAAAAAAAUAUUUAAAUUUGUAUCUGAUUGCAUAACAAACGCAGUAAGUGUGUAUUAAUUACUUUGGAUAAUAACAUAUCUCAUGAUGAGGGUAAUUUGGUCUUUAUAAAAAUCAAGAUUGAAAUUAUUGUUGUCUGGAUCAUGAAUUCAUAUAUUGGUCUGUGUUAGUUAUGUAUGCAUAUGUCACAGCAAGUUAUAAAAUAUUCACUCACUAAAGGGACUUGUGCGCAUAUUGUGGGAAAAAAAUCAACCUUUUUUGCAUAUUUAAAAAAGAAAUGAAAGCUGUACAUCAGAGAGCUGUAUAACAGGGAUGACGUUGAAUCAAACUGAAAACACUUUUUCAUUUAUGAGUGGUUAUCAUUUGAAAUUGAUAAAAUUGUAAAGCGUUACAGAUGCAAAACAAUUGAAUGAUGUUAAAUUCCUGUUGUUUUAGUUGUAUUUUGUGACAAUAUGUGGAUUGCUUAUAUCAAGUAUAAAAUCCAGUAGGUAAUGCAGCAGCAUAGAUCGUAGAGUGAUAAGGAUAUUAAUAAACCAAAAGUAAUUGGUUCGAGACUAAGUGAGGAAAACUUUUUUCUCUUUUAAAUUAUAUUCUUUUUUUCUUCUUUUUUUCUAGACCUCUUUAGUUCUGAUGUUGACAUAGCUCAAUUUAAAGCAUUUUGAGUUUUUGACAAACUUCUUUUUUUUCAAAUAACUUACCAAACUUGCUCAUACUUGUUGCGUAUCUCUAAUUAUGUACAAUGAUAUAUUGUGUUGUCUUGUGUUGUUGUAUUGUAAAUGCUGCAUAGUGUUAAAAUGACAUAAUAUAGUUAUACUAAUCUAACAGUAAUAACUUUUUUAUUUCAGUUACUAAUUAAUUUAUUUCAAUGAAAUGCAUAUUAAAAUAUUAUAUGUAUAUAUGUGUAACUGUCACAGUUCUGUAAAGUUUAGCUUCCUCGUGACAUCGACUUAACUUAAAUGUAUGAUUACACAAAGAAUGAAUGGGUGAUUUCUGGCCCAGGUGUUACUCCUUUUAUAUAUAGUUUAUUGAAUAUAUUUUAUUGUAAAAUGAACUUAUAUUUCCCCGUGAUUUAUUGAGAACUAUUCAAUGUGUACCUUCAUUGUAAUGUUUGUGUUGUAAAACAAUUAAUUUGCAUUCUCAAUUGUAUGUAUAAUAAUUAUCCCCACGCUUUUUGAAAAAAAGGUGGGGAUAUUGUGGUGAUCUCCGCCGUCCGUCCGUCCGUCUGUCCGUCCGUCUGUCCGUCCGUCCUGGCCACUAUCUCCUCCUACACUAAAAGCACUAGAACCUUGAAAUUUACACACAUGGUAGCUAUGAGCAUAUGUGCGACGGUGCACUAUUUGGAAUUUUGAUCUGACCCCUGGGUCAAAAGUUAUAGGGGUUGGGGUGGGGCCGCGUCAGAAAUUAUCACUCAUUUUUUUAGGUUAUUUUACAUUUACUUCUUUAUUUCUACACCGAUUCACUUCAAAUUGAUACUGGACCUCACCUAUGACAAUACGGUCAAUCUCAACCAUGCAUGGCCCCAUUCCCAACCCUGGGGCGCCCCGCCCACAUAGGCCACACCCACCAAAAAUUUCCAUUUACUAUAAUUUUUUCAUUUCUACACGGAUUCACUUCAAAUUGAUACUGAACUUUUGUUAUGACAUUAGGGUCAAUCUCAACUAUGCAUGGCCCCAAUCCCAACCCUGGGGCGCCCGCCCACAUAGGCCACACCCACCAAAAAAAUCCAUUUACUAUAAAAAAAAUUUAGGUUAUUUUACAUUAACUUCUUCAUUUCUACACUGAUUCACUUCAAAUUGAUACUGAACCUCUCUUAUGACAAAACGGUCAAACUCAACUAUGCAUGGCCCCGUUGCCAACCCUGGGGCGCCACGCCCACAUAGACCACACCCGCCCAAAAUUGCCUUUUACUAUAAUUUCUUCAUUAAUACACUGAUUCACUUCAAAUUGAUACUGAACCUCUCUUAUGACAAUACGGUCAAUCUCAACUAUGCAUGGCCCCAUUACCAACCCUGGGGCACCCCGCCCACAUAGGCCACACCCUCCCAAAAUUGCCUUUUACUAUAACUUCUUUAUUUUUACACCCAUUCACUUCUAAUUGAUACUGAACUUCUCUUAUGACAAUACAGUCAAUCUCAACUAUGCAUGGCCCCAUGAUCAACCCUGGGGCGCCCUUGGGUCAAACAUGCGGCGUGGGGAUACGCGUCGGCCUCUGCCGCGCCAUUUCUAGUUGUAAGAAUGUAAGGAAAUUGUACUAUUUCAAAAUUUUCAACUAAAAGGACAUAUUGUUAUUUGUAUUCCUACUCUGCAUACAAAAUCAACAACUGCAGCAGCUGCUGUACUUUUGUUUUGUUUGAGAUGAGCUGAAGCUAUGGUUGUGUAGAAUAAGUCUUAAAAAUUGACACACUAUAUGUGCAUUGACAUUUGACAUGUCAAAUCUUUAAUGAUAUAUAUUAGCACUCGAAAAUCUGCAUUGUUAACUCAUUCAUGGUCAGAAUGAUUAUAUUGACAAUACUGUAGUCAUGGUUGAAUCAUGGUUAAUAUAGCUGUUACCAGGUCUUUGACACUUGGUAUACCUUUAACUUUGAAGAGUGCUUCAUGGCCAUUAUGUAACUUGCAAUAGUUUUUUUUCCCUUUGUAUAUUGUUGUAUUUAUAUCUUGAUUGUGGCAUAUCUUGAAAACUAUCAAAGAUAUUAACUUGAAACAUAAUCUUUAGUAUGAUCUCAGUAAGGGGAUGUUCAUGGCACAAAAAUCAUUAGUCUUGCAUCCAAUUUUCAAAGUUAUUGCCCUUGGUUUAUUAAUCCCCUACCGGCGAAACCGGAGGGGGCUUAUGGUUUGCGCUCUGUGAGUCUGUCAGUUUGUCACACUUUUCUGGAACUUUAAAAGUUCUUCAUAUUUUUUCAUGAAACUUGAAACAUGGACAGAUGGCAAUAUGGAGAUUAUGCACGUCAUUUCAUUUUGUUCUUACAUCAAGAAUUCUGGUUGCUAUGGCAACAAAUAGACUAGAAAUAUUGCUGAAAAUGGUGGAGUUUCACCGGUAGGGGACUUUUAAUGCUUGGCAAUAGUCUUGUUAUUUUAACUCACCUGAGCACAACGUGCUCGUGGUUAAAUGUUGUGGUUGUCUUUUGUCCUUCUUAAAAUCAUGUUUGAUCAGUGGUCAACAUUUCCCCUGUGAAUAUCUUGUUGCCACAUUUAAUUGUCCAAUCCUUGUAAAAUGCAUUCAGUUCAAUUGUCCCAAUGAUAUCUACGCCAAGUUGAAACUGUGACAUGUGAUGUUAAAACUAGGUCAAAUAAAAGAAAAAACUUUUUUACUCUCUUCAUUAAAGUAAUAUUUUAUUGCCUAAUCAUCAUGAAACUUACCCAGAAAAUGUGUUUGUGUUAUAUCUAGGCUUAGUUAAAAAAAAUAGUUCUGAUCCCUUGAAAAACAUUGCCCCCAGGGGUCAGUGCAGAUCUCCUUCUUUUGCUUUAUUGAUAGGCUGUUAACUCUCUUUAAGUCACACUUUAUGUAAUCAUCAGGAAACUUAUUUAGAACUUAUGUUAUAUUUAUAUAUAUGCAAAAUAAAAAAAUAAAUUGUUCAGGUCUGCUGAAGAAAUUGGCCAUCUGGGGGCUGGGCAAUUUUCCUUUAAUGGCUUUAGUGAAACUUUGCAGGAACACUCUAGACGAUACAUAUUUAUGCCCCCCUUCGAAGAAGAGGGGGUAUAUUGUUUUGCUCAUGUCGGUCCGUCCGACCGUCUACCAGAUGGUUUCCGGAGGAUAACUCAAGAACGCUUAGGCCUAGGAUCAUGAAACUUCAUAGGUACAUUGAUCAUGACUGGCAGAUGACCCCUAUUGAUUUUUAGGUCACUAGGUCGAAGGUCAAGGUCACAGUGACUCGAAAUAGUAAAAUGGUUUCCGGGUGAUAACUCAAGAAUGCUUAGGCCUAGGAUCAUGAAACUUCAAAGGUACAUUGAUAGUGACUGGCAGAUGACCCCUAUUGAUUUUCAGGUCACUAGAUCAAAGGUCAAGGUCACUGUGACUUGAAAUAGUUAAAUGGUUUCCGGAUGAUAACUCAAGAAUGCUUACGCCUAGGAUCAUGAAACUUCACAGGUACAUUGAUCAUGACUGGCAAAUGACCCCUAUUGAUUUUCAGGUCACUAGGUCAAAGGUCAAGGUCACAGUGACCCGAAACAGUACAAUGGUUUCCAGAUGAUAACUCAAGAAUGCUUACGCCUAGGAUCAUGAAACUUCAUAGGUACAUUGAUCAUGACUGGCAGAUGACCCCUAUUGAUUUUCAGGUCACUAGGUCAAAGGUCAAGGUCACAGCUACUCGAAACAGUAAAAUGGUUUCAGGAUAACUCAAGAAUGCUUACGCCUAGGAUCAUGAAACUUCAUAGGUACAUUGAUCAUGACUGGCAGAUGACCCCUAUUGAUUUUCAGGUCACUAGGUCAAAGGUCAAGGUCACAGUGACUCAAAAUAGUAAAAUGGUUUCCGGAUGAUAACUCAAGUAUGCUUAUGCCUAGGAUCAUGAAACUUCAUAGGUACAUUGAUCAUGACUGGCAGAUGACCCCUAUUAAUUUUCAGGUCACUAGGUCUAAGGUCAAGGUCACAGUGACUAAAAACAGUUAAAUGGUUUCCUGAUGAUAACUCAAGAAUAAUAAGGCCUAGGAUCAUGAAACUUUAUAGGUACAUCGAUCAUGACUGGCAGAUGACCUCUAUUGAUUUUCAGGUCACUAGGUCAAAGGUCAAGGUCACAGUGACAAAAAACUCAAAUACUUUUCAUCCGAUCUUUACCAAACUUGGUCAGAAGUUGUAUCUAGACAAUAUCUAGGUCAAGUUCGAAUAUGGGUCAUGCCGGGUCAAAAACUAGGUCACGGGGUCACUUAGUGCAUUUCAAGGAUUUAGCAUGGUAAAAUGCUCAUAACUUCUAUCAAAGCGUUGGCUAUAACUUUUGCAUUAUUGAAGAUAGAAACUUGAUAUUUGGCAUGAAUGUGUAUCUCAUGAAGCUGCACAUUUUGAUUGGUGGAAGUUCAAGGUCAAGGUCAUUCUUCAAGGUCAAAGAUCAACAACAACAAAAAUCAAAGCGGCGUUCUCAUGAAGCUGCACAUUUUGAGUGGUGAAAGUUCAAGGUCAUCCUUCAAGGUCAAAGGUCUAAAAAAGAAAAAAUAUUUCAAAGCAGCGUUCUCAUGAAGCUGCACAUUUUGAGUGGUGGCAGUUCAAAUUCAAGCUCAUCCUCAAGGUCUUUUAUUUCAAAGCGGCGCAAUAGGGGGCAUUGUGUUUCUGAGGAACACAUCUCUUGUUUGGUUAAUAAUCAUUAAAAUGAUGCAAGUAAUAAUUGUGUAAUAAAAAAAAAUGGCUGCCAUGUGGAUGGGCAAUUUCCCCUUGAUAGUCGGUAUUGAAAUCUGAAACUCAUCUUUUCAGAUUAAUUUUGUUCCUUAAAUCUCAGGCGAAAGCCUAAGGGCACAUGGCACUUUUAUAUGUAAAUGUCCCCAUAGUAUACCUUGAAAACUAAAAGAGGUAUCAACUUGAAAUUUCAUUGAUUGAUACAUAUUAUUUGAUGUUUGGGCAAUGCACAAGAGACACAAUUCUGACUUCCAUAUGUUAAGAGUUAUUUCUCUUUGUUAGUUUAAUACAUGUAAAUGUUUUGAUUUUGCAAUGAAUCAACCUGAAUUUUUAAAGGUUGACGGAUUACCAUGAGAGGAAUAUAGUGCACAAUAACAUGAAAUCCUUUUUUCAUAAUUUCCCUUGUGAAUUUUAAAGCUGAAUGUUUGUUAAAGACAAAGCUUGACUCUAGAUUGGUUUCAAGAUGAAACAAUAUAAAGCUUGAAUUGUUGGGAGACUACUUCUUCAAACUGAAAGUCCUCCCUCUGACAAAGCAUAAUGUGGGGUUAUCAGGCACAAAGUGAAAGCUCUAAAUUGCAUUGUAUUUAAAUUCAUUUUUCAUGAAUUCUUUAUAUUUUUGUAUGAAAUCUAUGGGCUCUUGGUAAACAAAUUUUAUAUGUAUUUUGCUGUCAGGGAUUCUUUGUUGUUGAUCAUUCUUGUUGUAUGUGUACUGUUUGUGAUCCAUAUGGUGGUCGCUCAAUAAAUGCAAGAGAUGCGAGGUACAAUUAUGUUAUGCUUCUUGUUUCACUAAAAAAUGCCAUGAAGAUAUUAUCUGAAACGAGUGUUAGUACAAAUUAGAUUCUGGAUUCCGUCAUCAAUAAAGUUAAUGAAAAUGUGAUAA